rnacentral:lncRNA from 1 species
GCAUAAUUAUAUUUAAUAAAUUCUUCAUGAAUGUCAUAUCUUUAAAAAGAAAAUUGAUCAACUUGUGUCUAAGGAAAAUUUUGACCCACUUGACUAUAAGGAUUAUGACAUGUGUCACUUAUAUCAAUGGGAAAUAAACAAAUAUGAAGGAAAGGGACUAUUGUAUCAAGCAAAUAUAGAUUAUCAUGUCUUGAUAAAAAAUC